GACGAACCGUGCGAACGUUGUUCGGAUUCACUGGGCUUAAAGGGCGCGUAGGCGGGUCGCUAAGUCCGGGGUGAAAGCCCCCAGCUUAACUGGGGAAGUGCCUCGGAUACUGGCGGCCUCGAGGGGGAUAGGGGCCCGCGGAACUUCGGGUGGAGCGGUGAAAUGCGUUGAUAUCCGAAGGAACGCCGGUGGCGAAAGCGGCGGGCUGGAUCCCUUCUGACGCUGAGGCGCGAAAGCCAGGGGAGCAAACGGGG
rnacentral:rRNA from 1 species